rnacentral:rRNA from 1 species
CACGUAGGGGGCGAGCGUUGUCCGGAUUCAUUGGGCGUAAAGAGCUCGUAGGCGGCUCAGUAAGUCGGGUGUGAAACCCUCAGGCUCAACCUGGGGACGCCACUCGAUACUGCUGUGGCUAGAGUCCAGUAGGGGAGUGUGGAAUUCCCGGUGUAGCGGUGAAAUGCGCAGAUAUCGGGAGGAACACCAGCGGCGAAGGCGGCACUCUGGGCUGGUACUGACGCUGAGGAGCGAAAGCGUGGGUAGCAAACAGGAUUAGAAACCCCAGUAGUCC